GCUGUGGAUGUGGCUCCGCGGUAGAGCGCUUGCCUAGCCCACGUGAGGCCCUGGGUUCCAUCCCCAGCACGGCA
rnacentral:tRNA from 1 species